GACGAACGCUGGCGGCGUGCUUAACACAUGCAAGUCGAACGGUGAAGGGACCAGCUUGCUGGUUCUGGAUGAGUGGCGAACGGGUGAGUAACACGUGAGUAACCUGCCCCCUUCUUCUGGAUAACCGCAUGAAAGUGUGGCUAAUACGGGAUAUUCUGUGUCUGUCGCAUGGCGGGCCCGGGAAAGAUAUUGCUUCGGUGGGGGAUGGGCUCGCGGCCUAUCAGCUUGUUGGUGGGGUGAUGGCCUACCAAGGCGGUGACGGGUAGCCGGCCUGAGAGGGUGGACGGUCACACUGGGAAUGAGACACGGCCCAGACUCCUACGGGAGGCAGCAGUGGGGAAUAUUGCACAAUGGGAGCAAGCCUGAUGCAGCGACGCCGCGUGAGGGAUGAAGGCCUUCGGGUUGUAAACCUCUUUCGGAAGUGAAGCAGGCCUGCUCCUUGUGGGUGGGUUGACGGUAGCUGGAUAAGAAGCGCCGGCUAACUACGUG
rnacentral:rRNA from 1 species